AGAGUUUGAUCCUGGCUCAGGAUGAACGCUAGCUACAGGCUUAACACAUGCAAGUCGAGGGGAAACGGCAUUGAGUGCUUGCACUCUUUGGACGUCGACCGGCGCACGGGUGAGUAACGCGUAUCCAACCUUCCCAUUACUGUGGGAUAACCUGCCGAAAGGCAGACUAAUACCGCAUAGUCUUCGAUGACGGCAUCAGAUUUGAAGUAAAGAUUUAUCGGUAAUGGAUGGGGAUGCGUCUGAUUAGCUUGUUGGCGGGGUAACGGCCCACCAAGGCGACGAUCAGUAGGGGUUCUGAGAGGAAGGUCCCCCACAUUGGAACUGAGACACGGUCCAAACUCCUACGGGAGGCAGCAGUGAGGAAUAUUGGUCAAUGGACGUAAGUCUGAACCAGCCAAGUAGCGUGCAGGAUGACGGCCCUAUGGGUUGUAAACUGCUUUUGUAUGGGGAUAAAGUUAGGGACGUGUCCCUAUUUGCAGGUACCAUACGAAUAAGGACCGGCUAAUUCCGUGCCAGCAGCCGCGGUAAUACGGAAGGUCCAGGCGUUAUCCGGAUUUAUUGGGUUUAAAGGGAGCGUAGGCUGGAGAUUAAGUGUGUUGUGAAAUGUAGACGCUCAACGUCUGACUUGCAGCGCAUACUGGUUUCCUUGAGUACGCACAACGUUGGCGGAAUUCGUCGUGUAGCGGUGAAAUGCUUAGAUAUGACGAAGAACUCCGAUUGCGAAGGCAGCUGACGGGAGCGCAACUGACGCUUAAGCUCGAAGGUGCGGGUAUCGAACAGGAUUAGAUACCCUGGUAGUCCGCACAGUAAACGAUGGAUGCCCGCUGUUGGUACCUGGUAUCAGCGGCUAAGCGAAAGCAUUAAGCAUCCCACCUGGGGAGUACGCCGGCAACGGUGAAACUCAAAGGAAUUGACGGGGGCCCGCACAAGCGGAGGAACAUGUGGUUUAAUUCGAUGAUACGCGAGGAACCUUACCCG
rnacentral:rRNA from 1 species